GAUGAUGGUUGGUCUUCGAAGAUUAAAGGACCCGGUUCACUAUCCUGGCCAUGGAGUAGAAUGAAAAACAUCAAAAAAUCAACUGAAAUGUUGAAACAAA